AUAAUUCAUUACAACACGAUCCUAGAAAAAAAAAAAAAGAUCUAGCCUCCUUCUUCUUUAGGUCCUCGUUUCUGGUUCUUCUUUCCUUUAUCGUUUCUCUUCCGAGGUUCAAUUACUCGAUUCAAUUCACCUAAGAAUAUGUGUUGUGGAUCUGCUAAUCCCCCGUUUGAAUUCGGAGAACAUUUGUGGUCAGCGGCGGAGGUUAAAAGAGAGGAUGAGUGCUAAGAAAGUGGCUGGGUCUCUUGAUUUAUGGCUCUUUUAAACGUGUCAAGAGAGUUGAGAGAUGGAGUUAAUGAUGUGGCUAUUUGACUGACUCUGAUUUGUGUUCUGAUCUAUGUUUCCCGGUGAGGAAUUCUUCAUCCAUCACCAGUUUGCUUGUGAAGCUCCUUGAUUUGCUUAUACUUUUCGUGAAAAUUUUACAUGUUUCUGUUACCCUUUAAGUUCUUCUUAUUUGACACAUCCGUCAAAAACGUUUGAAGGUUGGUGACUUUGUCUGUAUAUGAAUAAUCAAUGAAUGUUUGAAGUUUGUUCCCACUUAUAGUUACCAUGACCAAAGUUGAGAUGCUUUAAGAACCUGCAAGUAUAUGUGACAUUGAGUUUAAGAGAAUGUGCAAAUGAGCUGAGACAGAGGUAAAAGAGUCAUGGCUUGAUGUUCAGCUUUUGUCAAGACGGAAAAGAUGAAUAUUGUUUGAUUGCAUUGUAUUUGUGCAAUCAUGUUGUGUGAUUUGUCACUUCUUGUUCCUUUUCGUUCCAUCUUGUUUCAAGCAAUUCUCAAAUCCAAUGGCUUUCUUUUCUACCUUACAAGUCAUUAAUCAAAUCACAUAUAUGCUUAACAAGUA